UCAAGCUAAUAAGAGCGCAAGGGGAAUGCCUUGGCAUCAGGAGCCGACGAAGGACGUGACAAGCUGCGAUAAGCUACGGUGAGGAGCAAAUAUCCUGUGACCCGUAGAUUUCCGAAUGGGGCAACCCGGCUGGACAAUAUCCAGUCAUCCUGCAUUGAAUAAAAUAGGUGUAGGAAGGGAACCGCCUGAACUGAAACAUCUAAGUAGGGCGAGGAAAAGACAUCAACCGAGAUUCCGCAAGUAGUGGCGAGCGAACGCGGAAGAGGCCAAACCGGAGGAUUUAUUCUCCGGGGUUGCGGACAGCUAUACGGAACAAUAGUUUAGCCGAACGGUCUGGGAAGGCCGGUCGCAGAGGGUGAGAACCCCGUAGGCGAAAGACGAAUUGUUUCAGGCUGGAUCCAGAGUACCGCAGGACACGUGAAACCCUGUGGGAAACAGGGGGGACCACCCUCCAAGCCUAAAUACUACCUGAUGACCGAUAGAGGAGCAGUACCGUGAGGGAAAGGUGAAAAGGACCCCGGGAGGGGAGUGAAAGAGAACCUGAAACCUUGUGCUUACAAGCAGUCAGAGCACGUUAACGUGUGAUGGCGUACUUUUUGUAGAACGGUCCGGCGAGUUAUAGUAACGAGCAAGCUUAAGGUAUUCAGUACCGGAGGCGAAGCGAAAGCGAGUCUGAAUAGGGCGCAUGAAGUUCGUUGCCAUAGACCCGAAACCGGGUGACCUACGCAUGAGCAGGUUGAAGUGGGGGUGAAACCCCAUGGAGGACCGAACCAACCCCCGUUGCAAUGGUGGUGGAUGACUUGUGCGUAGCGGUGAAAUUCCAAUCGAACUCGGAGAUAGCUGGUUCUCCCCGAAAUAGCUUUAGGGCUAGCGUUAGUUUAGAUUACCGGAGGUAAAGCACUGAAUGGUUUAGGGGCUGAUAAAGUUACCGACGCCUAUCAAACUCUGAAUGCCGGAUAAUUGAUGACUAGCAGUCAGACAGUGUGAGAUAAGUUUCAUUGUCAAAAGGGAAACAGCCCAGACCUACAGCUAAGGUCCCAAAUGUAUGCUAAGUGGAAAACGAUGUGGAAUUGCGAAAACAACCAGGAUGUUGGCUUAGAAGCAGCCACACAUUAAAAGAGUGCGUAAUAGCUCACUGGUCGAGUGACUCUGCGCGGAAAAUGUAACGGGGCUAAGCAUGCAACCGAAGCUUAGGAUUGUCUAAAGACAGUGGUAGGGGAGCGUUCUGUAUGGGGUGAAGUCGCAGCGAGAGCAGCGGUGGACUGUACAGAAGUGAGAAUGCCGGAAUGAGUAGCGAGAAUUAUGUGGGAAUCAUAAUGGCCGAAAAUCUAAGGUUUCUUGGGGAAGGUUCGUCCGCCCAAGGUAAGUCGGGAGCUAAGCUCAGGCCGCGAGGCGUAGGCGAUGCACAUACGGUAGAAAUUCCGUAACCACCGAACUUUAAGCAUGAGGGACACUUUGAGAUAGCGGAACCCGGGCGUUGGUUGACCCGGGCGAAAGGGACCGAAAUAUAGUAGGGAAGUCCGCGAUGCUCAGAGGCGAGAAAAGCUCAUGUGUAUACUAAGGUGCCCGUACCGCAAACCGACACAGGUAGAUGAGGAGAGAAUCCUAAGGCCAACGGGAGAAGGGUUGUUAAGGAACUCGGCAAGAUGACCCCGUAACUUCGGAAGAAGGGGAGCCUCGAAAGAGGCCGCAGUGAAUAGGCCCAAGCAACUGUUUACCAAAAACACAGGUUUAUGCUAAAUCGAAAGAUGACGUAUAUGAGCUGACGCCUGCCCGGUGCCGGAAGGUUAAGAGGAGAUGUCAACCGCAAGGUGAAGCAUUGAAUUGAAGCCCCGGUAAACGGCGGCCGUAACUAUAACGGUCCUAAGGUAGCGAAAUUCCUUGUCAGGUAAGUUCUGACCCGCACGAAAGGCGUAAUGAUUUGGGCACUGUCUCAACAGCCCGCCCGGCGAAAUUGUAGUACUGGUGAAGAUGCCAGUUACCCGCAACUAGACGGAAAGACCCCAUGGAGCUUUACUGCAGCUUAAUACUGGAAUUCGGUAAAUCAUGUACAGGAUAGGUGGGAGACUAGGAAGCAUUGGCGUCAGCCAGUGUGGAGUCGCUGGUGGGAUACCACUCUUGAUUUGCUGGGUUUCUAACCUGCGGCCGUGAAUCCGGUCGGGGGACACUGUUAGGCGGGCAGUUUGACUGGGGCGGUCGCCUCC
rnacentral:rRNA from 1 species